ACGAACGCUGGCGGCGUGGAUAAGACAUGCAAGUCGAACGGGAGAAUUGCUAGCUUGCUAAUAAUUCUCUAGUGGCGCACGGGUGAGUAACACGUGAGUAACCUGCCUCUUAGUGGGGGAUAGCCCUGGGAAACCGGGAUUAAUACCGCAUACGAUUGAAAGAUCAAAGCAGCAAUGCGCUAGGAGAUGGGCUCGCGGCCUAUUAGUUAGUUGGUGAGGUAACGGCUCACCAAGGCGAUGACGGGUAGCCGGUCUGAGAGGAUGUCCGGCCACACUGGAACUGAGACACGGUCCAGACACCUACGGGUGGCAGCAGUCGAGAAUCAUUCACAAUGGGGGCAACCCUGAUGGUGCGACGCCGCGUGGGGGAAUGAAGGUCUUCGGAUUGUAAACCCCUGUCAUGUGGGAGCAAAUUAAAAAGAUAGUACCACAAGAGGAAGAGACGGCUAACUCUGUGCCAGCAGCCGCGGUAAUACAGAGGUCUCAGGCGUUGUUCGGAAUCACUGGGCGUAAAGCGUGCGUAGGCUGUUUCGUAAGUCGUGUGUGAAAGGCAGGGGCUCAACCCCUGGAUUGCACAUGAUACUGCGAGACUAGAGUAAUGGAGGGGGAACCGGAAUUCUCGGUGUAGCAGUGAAAUGCGUAGAUAUCGAGAGGAACACUCGUGGCGAAGGCGGGUUCCUGGACAUUAACUGACGCUGAGGCACGAAGGCCAGGGGAGCGAAAGGGAUUAGAUACCCCUGUAGUCCUGGCAGUAAACGGUGCACGCUUGGUGUGCGGGGAAUCGACCCCCUGCGUGCCGGAGCUAACGCGUUAAGCGUGCCGCCUGGGGAGUACGGUCGCAAGAUUAAAACUCAAAGAAAUUGACGGGGACCCGCACAAGCGGUGGAGUAUGUGGCUUAAUUCGAUGCAACGCGAAGAACCUUACCUGGGCUUGACAUGUAAUGAACAACAUGUGAAAGCAUGCGACUCUUCGGAGGCGUUACACAGGUGCUGCAUGGCCGUCGUCAGCUCGUGUCGUGAGAUGUUUGGUUAAGUCCAGCAACGAGCGCAACCCCUGUUGCCAGUUACCAGCACGUCAAGGUGGGGACUCUGGCGAGACUGCCCAGAUCAACUGGGAGGAAGGUGGGGACGACGUCAGGUCAGUAUGGCCCUUAUGCCCAGGGCUGCACACGUACUACAAUGCCCAGUACAGAGGGGGCCGAAGCCGCGAGGCGGAGGAAAUCCUGAAAACUGGGCCCAGUUCGGACUGUAGGCUGCAACCCGCCUACACGAAGCCGGAAUCGCUAGUAAUGGCGCAUCAGCUACGGCGCCGUGAAUACGUUCCCGGGUCUUGUACACACCGCCCGUCACAUCAUGGAAGCCGGUCGCACCCGAAGUAUCUGAAGCCAACCGCAAGGAGGCAGGGUCCUAAGGUGAGACUGGUAACUGGGAUG
rnacentral:rRNA from 1 species